CAGGCAGGGAGAUGAGGCAGGAGCCGCCGCAGGGGCCGGGAGACGCGUGUCGCUGGAUCCAGGCUGAAGCCUCUGCCCUGUCCUCCACGGCGGGACCGUGGGCGCUCGGCCUCUAGGAAAUGGGAGAGCUCAGCAGGCUCCCUGGCGAUCCGCCUGCCUCACCGAGGACACCAGAGCAAGCUCUGCCCGGCUGCUGUUUGACUCCGGGCGGCCACGACGCCAGGGCUCGGGUUUGGUCGCACGAGAAGAUGAAAUUGUGAUGCUCGGGAAUUUCCUGAAUUAAAUCAGCUGCGUCGACAACACUUCGGUUGAUUUCCAACACAAGAGUGCUUCCCAUCCUUCCCGCUGAGGAGCACACAUUUUCACCCAGGAGCCACCAGCAGAGCCUCUCAUUUCACAUCUGCCAGAGUCUCUGGAUUGCAGAAAGUGACCCAGGUGUACCUGAAGGACCUGUUACUUGAGAAGGUGACCAGAUACUCUCCUGCAGGUUCCGAAGAGGCAGCUGCCUCUUCCAGUAACAAACGGAGCAGCUCAAAACCCAUCGUGAGUCGAAAGGAGCUGAGGCAAACGAGCUUUUUAAGCUGCCUAACAGAGCUAAUUAGGUUUCUUUUCUACAACAGCAGCACGGAUGCUUCCUUCUGGGCCUGGGUGCCACUCUUUGUCAUGAUACGCAUUUGUAUUCCAGAAAACAGCUUUAAAAGAAGAAUUUGAGACUGUGUUCCUUUAAGUCUGAAAAGCUUCAGCUUAACCAUCAGCAAGUCCUCCAGGAAAACCUGA